GCGCGACAGGACCCUGUGAACCGUGUCAGGUUGGGAACAAAGCAGCACUAAGCAGGAUAUCCUGUGCGCCGCGAGGCAGCCU
rnacentral:SRP_RNA from 1 species